rnacentral:rRNA from 1 species
AUUGAACGCUGGCGGCAGGCCUAACACAUGCAAGUCGAACGAGUGGCGGACGGGUGAGUAAUGUCUGGGAAACUGCCUGAUGGCGGGGGUUAACUACUGGAAACGGUAGCUAAUACCGCAUACCAUCGUCUGUGCCAAGAUGGGAUUAGCUAGUAGGUGGGGUAAAGGCUCACCUAGGCGACGAUCCCUAGCUGGUCUGAGAGGAGGACACGCCACACGGGAACUGAGAAACGGGCAAGACGCCUACGAGAGGCAGAAGUGGCGAAUAUGGCACAAUGGGCGCAAGCAUGAUGCAGCCAGGCCGCGUGUGUGAAGAAGGCCUACGGGUUGUAAAGUACUUUCAGCGGGGAGGCGUUACCAGCAGAAGAAGCACCGGCUAACUCCGUGCCAGCAGCCGCGGUAAUUC